rnacentral:rRNA from 1 species
UACGGGGGGGGGCAAGCGUUGUUCGGAAUUACUGGGCGUAAAGGGCUCGUAGGCGGCCAACUAAGUCGGACGUGAAAUCCCCAGGCUCAACCUGGGAACUGCGUCCGAUACUGGAUGGCUUGAAUCCGGGAGAGGGAUGCAGAAUUCCAGGUGUAGCGGUGGAAUGCGCAGAUAUCAGGAGGAACACCGGUGGCGAAGGCGGGUCUCUGGGCCGAUACUGACGCUGAGGAGCGAAAGCGUGGGGAGCGAACAGG